rnacentral:rRNA from 1 species
UACAGAGGGUGCGAGCGUUGUUCGGAAUUACUGGGCGUAAAGGGCUCGUAGGUGGCCAACUAAGUCAGACGUGAAAUCCCUCGGCUUAACCGGGGAACUGCGUCUGAUACUGGAUGGCUUGAGUUUGGGAGAGGGACGCGGAAUUCCAGGUGUAGCGGUGAAAUGCGUAGAUAUCUGGAGGAACACCGGUGGCGAAGGCGGCGUCCUGGACCAACACUGACACUGAUGAGCGAAAGCCAGGGGAGCAAACGGG